UACGGGGGGGGCAAGCGUUGUUCGGAAUUACUGGGCGUAAAGGGCUCGUAGGCGGCCAACUAAGUCAGACGUGAAAUCCCUCGGCUUAACCGGGGAACUGCGUCUGAUACUGGUUGGCUUGAAUCCGGGAGAGGGAUGUGGAAUUCCAGGUGUAGCGGUGAAAUGCGUAGAUAUCUGGAGGAACACCGGUGGCGAAGGCGGCAUCCUGGACCGGUAUUGACGCUGAGGAGCGAAAGCCAGGGGAGCGAACAGG
rnacentral:rRNA from 1 species